rnacentral:rRNA from 1 species
GACGAACGCUGGCGGCGUGCCUAAUACAUGCAAGUCGAGCGGAUUGAUGGGAGCUUGCUCCCUGAUAUCAGCGGCGGACGGGUGAGUAACACGUGGGCAACCUGCCUAUAAGACUGGGAUAACUUCGGGAAACCGGAGCUAAUACCGGAUAAUCCCUUUCCUCUCAUGAGGAAAGGCUGAAAGAUGGUUUACGCUAUCACUUAUAGAUGGGCCCGCGGCGCAUUAGCUAGUUGGUGAGGUAACGGCUAACCAAGGCAACGAUGCGUAGCCGACCUGAGAGGGUGAUCGGCCACAGUGGGACUGAGACACGGCCCAGAAUCCUACGGGAGGCAGCAGUAGGGAAUCUUCCGCAAUGGACGAAAGUCUGACGGAGCAACGCCGCGUGAGUGAUGAAGGUUUUCGGAUCGUAAAACUCUGUUGUUAGGGAAGAACAAGUACGAGAGUAACUGCUCGUACCUUGACGGUACCUAACCAGAAAGCCACGGCUAACUACGUGCCAGCCGCCGCAGUAA